rnacentral:rRNA from 1 species
AAUAGAUACCCUGGUAGUCCACGCCGUAAACGAUGAGUGCUAAGUGUUAGGGGGGUUUCCGCCCCUUAGUGCUGCAGCUAACGCAUUAAGCACUCCGCCUGGGGAGUACGGUCGCAAGACUGAAACUCAAAGGAAUUGACGGGGGCCCGCACAAGCGGUGGAGCAUGUGGUUUAAUUCGAAGCAACGCGAAGAACCUUACCAGGUCUUGACAUCCCAUUGACCGCUAUGGAGACAUAGCUUUCCCUUCGGGGACAGUGGUGACAGGUGGUGCAUGGUUGUCGUCAGCUCGUGUCGUGAGAUGUUGGGUUAAGUCCCGCAACGAGCGCAACCCUUGUUCUUAGUUGCCAUCAUUUAGUUGGGCACUCUAAGGAGACUGCCGGUGACAAACCGGAGGAAGGUGGGGAUGACGUCAAAUCAUCAUGCCCCUUAUGACCUGGGCUACACACGUGCUACAAUGGACGGUACAAACGGUUGCCAACCCGCGAGGGGAGCUAAUCCGAUAAAACCGUUCUCAGUUCGGAUUGUAGGCUGCAACUCGCCUACA